rnacentral:tRNA from 1 species
GGUGGAUUAACUCAGUUGGUAGAGUGAUUGACUGUUAAUCAAUUGGCCACAGGUUCGAUUCCUGUAUCCACCGCCA